GACGAACGCUGGCGGCGUGCUUAAUACAUGCAAGUCGAACGGACAGGCCCUGCUCUUGCGGGGUGCUCGUGUGGCGCAGGGGUGAGUAACACGUGAGUAACCUGCCCUUGACUUUGGGAUAACUUCAGGAAACAGGGGCUAAUAUCGGAUAGGAGCUCCUGCUGCAUGGUGGUGGAUGGAAAGAUUCGGCGGUUGUGGCUGGACUCGCUGCUUAUCGGCUUGUUGGUGGGGUAGUGACUUACAAAGCCUUUGACGGGUAGCCGGCCUGAGAGGGUGACCGGCCUCAAUGGGACUGAGAGAGGGCGCAGAAGCCUACGUGACGCAGCGGUGGGGAGUAUUACGGAAUGGGCCGGAGCGUGUGGCGACGACGUCCCGUGCGUGAUACCCGCCUACGGGUUGUAAACCGCUUUCGCCUGUGACGUGGCGUGAGUGACGGUAAUGGAUAAGAAAGCACCGGCUAACUACGUG
rnacentral:rRNA from 1 species